AGCAGCCGCGGUAAUUCCAGCUCCAAUAGCGUAUAUUAAAGUUGUUGCAGUUAAAAAGCUCGUAGUUGAAUUUCGGGGACCAAUCUGCCGGUCGUGCCUCCGGUACGCACUGGUUUUAUUGGUUUCUCCCUUCUGACGAACCAUGAUGUCAUUAAUUUGGUGUCAUGGGGAAUCAGGACUGUUACUUUGAAAAAAUUAGAGUGUUUAAAGCAGGCUCACGCUUGAAUACAUUAGCAUGGAAUAAUGAAAUAGGACGUAUGAUCCUAUUUUGUGGUUUCUAGGAUUGACGUAAUGAUUAAUAGGGAUAGUUGGGGGGCAUUAGUAUUCAAUUGUCAGAGGUGAAAUUCUUGGAUUUAUUGAAGACUAACUACUGCGAAAGCACUUGCCAAGGAUGUUUUUCAUUAAUCAAGAACGAAAGUUAGGGGAUCGAAGACGAUCAGAUACCGUCGUAGUCUUAACCAUAAACUAUGCCGACUAGGGAUCGGAUGAUGUUAAUUUUUUUAAUGGCUCAUUCGGCGCC
rnacentral:rRNA from 1 species